CCUACGGGGGGCAGCAGUGGGGAAUAUUGCACAAUGGGGGAAACCCUGAUGCAGCGACGCCGCGUGAGUGAAGAAGUAUCUCGGUACGUAAAGCUCUAUCAGCAGGGAAGAAAAUGACGGUACCUGACUAAGAAGCCCCGGCUAACUACGUGCCAGCAGCCGCGGUAAUACGUAGGGGGCAAGCGUUAUCCGGAUUUACUGGGUGUAAAGGGAGCGUAGACGGUGUGGCAAGUCUGAAGUGAAAGCCCGGGGCUCAACCCCGGGACUGCUGUGGAAACUGUCAUGCUG
rnacentral:rRNA from 1 species